UACGGGGGAGGCAAGCGUUGUUCGGAUUUACUGGGCGUAAAGGGCGCGUAGGCGGCCACCGCAAGUCGACUGUGAAAUCUCCGGGCUUAACCCGGAAAGGUCAGCCGAUACUGCGGGGCUAGAGUGCAGAAGGGGCAACUGGAAUUCUCGGUGUAGCGGUGAAAUGCGUAGAUAUCGAGAGGAACACCUGCGGCGAAGGCGGGUUGCUGGGCUGACACUGACGCUGAGGCGCGAAAGCUAGGGGAGCGAACGGG
rnacentral:rRNA from 1 species